rnacentral:rRNA from 1 species
AUUGAACGCUGGCGGCAGGCCUAACACAUGCAAGUCGAGCGGAUGAAGGGAGCUUGCUCCUGGAUUCAGCGGCGGACGGGUGAGUAAUGCCUAGGAAUCUGCCUGGUCGUGGGGGAUAACGUCCGUAAACGGGCGCUAAUACCGCAUACGUCCUGAGGGAGAAAGUGGGGGAUCUUCGGACCUCACGCUAUCAGAUGAGCCUAGGUCGGAUUAGCUAGUUGGUGGGGUAAAGGCCUACCAAGGCGACGAUCCGUAACUGGUCUGAGAGGCUGAUCAGUCACACUGGAACUGAGACACGGUCCAGACUCCUACGGGAGGCAGCAGUGGGGAAUAUUGGACAAUGGGCGAAAGCCUGACCCAGCCAUGCCGCGUGUGUGAAGAAGGUCUUCGGAUUGUAAAGCACUUUAAGUUGGGAGGAAGGGCAGUAAGUUAAUACCUUGCUGUUUUGACGUUACCAACAGAAUAAGCACCGGCUAACUUCGUG